GGUAUGCUUAAAGAGGGGCUUGCGCCAUAUUAGUUAGUUGGUAGGGUAAAAGCCUACCAAGACGAUGAUAUGUAGCUGGACUGAGAGGUUGAACGGCCACAUUGGGACUGAGACACGGCCCAAACUCCCACGGGAGCAGCAGUAGGGAAUUUUCGGCAAUGGAGGAAACUCUGACCGAGCAACGUCGCGUGAACGAUGAAGUAUUUCGGUAUGUAAAGUUCUUUUAUUGAAGAAGAAAAAAUAGUGGAAAAACUAUCUUGACGCUUUCAAUGAAUAAGCCCUGGCUAAUUAUGUGCCAGCAGCCGCGGUAAUACAUAAAGGGCGAGCGUUAUCCGGAAUUAUUGGGCGUAAAGGGUGCGUAGGCGGUUUGUUAAGUCUUUAGUUUAAUCUCAGUGCUUAACGCUGUUCUGCUAGAGAAACUGACUUACUAGAGUGAGAUAGAGGCAAGUGGAAUUCCAUGUGUCAGCGGUAAAAUGCGUAAAUAUAUGGAGGAACACCAGAGGCGUAGGCGGCUUGCUGGGUCUUUACUGACGCUGAGGCACGAAAGCGUGGGGAGCAAACAGGAUUAGAUACCCUGGUAGUCCACGCCGUAAACGAUGAGUACUAAGUGUCGGGAAACUCGGUACUGAAGUUAACACAUUAAGUACUCCGCCUGAGUAGUACGUACGCAAGUAUGAAACUUAAAGGAAUUGACGGGAUCCCGCACAAGCGGUGGAUCAUGUUGUUUAAUUCGAAGAUACACGAAAACCUUACCAGUCUUGACAUACUCUGCAAAGCUGUAGAAUACAGUGGAGGUAUCGGGAUACGGUGGUGCAUGGUGUCGUCGCUCGUCUGAGAUGUUAGGUUAAGUCCUAGAACGAGCGCAACCCUUGUCGUAGUUACCAGCACGUUAUGGUGGGCACUUUAACGAGACUGCAUGAAUAUUGGAGGAGGGGAGGAUUACUCAAUCAUCAUGCCCCUUAUGAUCUGGGGACACGGAUAAAUGGUGUUCAAAAAGUAGUGAAAGGGGGUUUUUGGCCACCCAAAAAA
rnacentral:rRNA from 1 species